rnacentral:rRNA from 1 species
AUUGAACGCUGGCGGCAUGCCUUACACAUGCAAGUCGAACGGCAGCAUAGGAGCUUGCUCCUGAUGGCGAGUGGCGAACGGGUGAGUAAUAUAUCGGAACGUGCCCUAGAGUGGGGGAUAACUAGUCGAAAGACUAGCUAAUACCGCAUACGAUCUACGGAUGAAAGUGGGGGAUCGCAAGACCUCAUGCUCCUGGAGCGGCCGAUAUCUGAUUAGCUAGUUGGUGGGGUAAAAGCCUACCAAGGCAACGAUCAGUAGCUGGCCUGAGAGGACGACCAGCCACACUGGGACUGAGACACGGCCCAGACUCCUACGGGAGGCAGCAGUGGGGAAUUUUGGACAAUGGGGGCAACCCUGAUCCAGCAAUGCCGCGUGAGUGAAGAAGGCCUUCGGGUUGUAAAGCUCUUUUGUCAGGGAAGAAACGGUAGUAGCGAAUAACUACUACUAAUGACGGUACCUGAAGUAUAAGCACCGGCUAACUACGUGCCAGCCGCCGCAGUAA